GUGCACGCUGGCGGUAGGCCUAACACAUGCAAGUCGAACGGCAGCACAGUAAGAGCUUGCUCUUACGGGUGGCGAGUGGCGGACGGGUGAGGAAUACAUCGGAAUCUACUUUUUCGUGGGGGAUAACGUAGGGAAACUUACGCUAAUACCGCAUACGACCUACGGGUGAAAGCAGGGGAUCUUCGGACCUUGCGCGAUUGAAUGAGCCGAUGUCGGAUUAGCUAGUUGGCGGGGUAAAGGCCCACCACGGCGACGAUCCGUAGCUGGUCUGAGAGGAUGAUCAGCGACACUGGAGCUGAGACACGGUCCAGACUCCUACGGGAGGCAGCAGUGUGGAAUAUUGGACAAUGGGCGCAAGCCUGAUCCAGCGAUAGCGCGUGGGUGAAGACGGCGUUCGGGUUGUAAAGCCCUUUUGUUGGGAAAGAAAAGCAGCAGGUUAAUACGCCGCUGUUCUGACGGUACCGAAAGAAUAAGCACCGGCUAACUUCGUG
rnacentral:rRNA from 1 species